rfam:Methanosarcina sp. MTP4, complete genome.
GAGAGAGGUCGGACGGCUGCCGGACCCCAGGGUCUGAGGAAAGUCUCCCCUCCGCUCCGGACACACGAACACCUGUAAAGGGUGUCGGGCGAGAGCCCGGGCGCUGGCACAGAAACGGAACCGUCCCCUGUUAAUGCAAUGAUGCGAAAAGCUGAGGUCGCAGGGGCUGCGGAUGAAACGGUGAAUCCUCGUGGGUGCAAGUUGGAAAUCGGGAUUAUAUGAGCAGUCCGGAAUCACCCGAUUUGUUUUGAAACGCUUAGCCGAAUGCCGUCACUGCAAGAGUCCUAAAGGACCGUUCCCCUCACUGCCUGGUGUCGGGAAUCAUUGCAGGAACAGAAGGGAGCUUACGGACCUCACUC